AUGCUUUCCGCCAUCAAUGGGAUAUUUGAUCCCUUAGGCAUAGCUGCUCCUGUCCUGAUCACUGCUAAACUUCUGUUCAGACAGGUGAUCCAAGAAAAAAUAGGAUGGGAUCAAGAGCUGUCUCAAUCAAUAAAAACGGCUUGGUCAAACUGGACUGCCCAAGCUGAAGGCCUGGAAACCAUCGCAGUUCCCAGACAAUUUGCGCCCUGUAAGGUAAUGAUAGAACCCACCACAGAACUUCACAUCUUCUGUGACGCAUCUGAGCGAGCUAUAGCAGCUGUGGCAUACAUGCGACAAAAGGACAGAGAUUUUUGUCACGCAGGAUUCAUCAUGGCAAAGGCUAAAAUAGCUCCUAUGGGAACUUCAAUACCCCGGCUGGAAUUGUGUGCAGCAGUUCUUGCUGUCCAGCUCUGGCGCAUCAUCCAGCAAGAGAUAGGAGACUUGUUUCAAGAUGUCCAUUUCCACACGGACAGUACAGUUGUGCUUGGUUACAUCAACAACACAACCAAAAGAUUCAAGGUGUAUGUGGCUAAUAGAAUCAACAACAUUCUAUCCAGUUCUACGCCUAGCCAGUGGCACCACGUCGCCACCAGCAACAACCCAGCUGACAUCGCUUCCAGAGGAGCUUCAACUCAACGAGUGUUAAGUUCAAGUUGGCUGACAGGCCCCAGAUGCUUGACCGAAGUCAAUUUUCCAUCAGCCUUUUCUCCCACCGAUAAUACAGAAUUGCCCGAGUCCGUUCCAGAGGUGAAAGUUUGCAAGAUGACCACAGAAAUCAAGAUGGGCCAAAGAUCUUGCCUGGAACCACACCGUUUUGAAUGUUUUUCGGAGUGGCACAGUCUUCUUAGAGCAGUUGCUAGGCUUAUACAUCGUUUAGCUUGCAAAGAUAGUGAGCCUUUACAGGUCCAGGAUAUGAUAAAGGCUAAGAGCGUCAUAUUCAAGUCAAUACAGAGAUCUGCUUUCAAGCAGGAAAUAGCUAGGCUAGAGCAAGGGCUCAACAUCCCUAAUCAAAGUCUUCUAAAUGAGUUAAACCCAUUUCUAGACAAGGAGGGUAUUUUGAGAGUUGGAGGAAGGUUAGCCAAAGCUAAACUCAAGGCGUGCAUAAAAAACCCCAUCAUCAUACCCCCUAAUAGUCACACUGCAUUGCUGCUCGUUCGGCAUCACCAUGAAAGGAUCCAUCAUCAGGGUAGAACUCUAACUGAGGCAGCCCUUAGAAAUGAAGGUCUGUGGGUAGUUAAUGCCAAAAGGUUGGUCAACAGUUGUAUUUUCAAAUGUGUCAAAUGUCGGCGACUCAGACGAAACUGUCAAAGUCAGUUGAUGGCAGAACUACCUCAGGAUAGGACUUUGACAGACCCACCCUUUUCCCAUGUGGGAAUCGAUGUGUUUGGUCCUUGGGAGGUUGUCACUAGGAAAACCAGGGGUGGUGUUGUAAAUAACAAGAGGUGGGCAGUUUUGUUUACUUGUUUAGUAAUACGAGCUGUCCAUAUAGAAGUCAUAGAAGGGAUGGACACUUCAUCAUUUUUAAACGCAUUAAAAAGGUUCAUAGCCCUCAGAGGGCCAAUUAAGUCAAUUCGGUCGGACUGUGGCACCAAUUUUGUAGGUGCGACCAAAGAACUCAAUUGUGUGUCUAGGUUUGGGAGAGACCCAAAGGUUCAGAACUUUACGAAUACUGAACAAAUUAUGUGGACUUUCAAUGUUCCUCACGCCUCCCAUAUGGGUGGUGUUUGGGAGAGGAUGAUUGGUAUUAGUCGCAAAAUCCUUAAUGCCAUGUUUUUGAGUCAUAGGUCAUUGACGCAUGAUGUUUUGGUGACACUUAUGGCGGAAGUUACCGCAAUUAUCAACAACCGGCCGCUGGUUCCCCUUACCAGUGACCCUGAGAACUUACAACCACUGACUCCUACACUUAUUUUGACACAAAAGGUGCCAGGAUGGAAGGACGUCAUGUUGCCAGUUCCGGACGGAACUCACCGUGCCCUGUGGAAACAGGUGCAGUCCUUGGCCAACCACUUUUGGAAAAGGUGGAAAGCUGAGUACUUAAGCCAGCUUCAAGCUAGAAGAAUCUGGCAAAGCCCACAGGACAACAUUGAGGUUAACAACGUUGUGUUGUUAAAGGACAAAGACUUGCCCCGCCAUGCAUGGCCCAUGGGCAUUGUAUUAAAGACCUUUCCUUGCCCGGACGGUAAGGUCAGGAAAGUUCAAUUAAAGACUUGCAACAGAGGCAAAGUGUCCAUUUUGGACAGACCAAUUAGUGACCUCGUGUUGCUUAUUGGAGAUGUUUAA
rnacentral:lncRNA from 1 species